CAAAUGGCAAGAUUUCGUUCUUUCUGAUGGCUGAGUAAUAGCAAUAGGAUUUUCUACGUGAGAGUGAAAACCAAGGUCUGGAAGCAGCACCUGGGAGAGAGGAGGUCACUAACCUUCAAGGUCAUGUAGUAUAAAAAAGCUCACUAUAGAUCAGGAAAAUGAGGUCAGAGAAUGUGAUAGGCAGCCUUCAAGAUGUUCCCCAGUGAUUCCCAUCUUCUGCUAUUCAUACCCUUGUGUCACCCCUCUCCCACAGGGCAUCAAGUUCAGCUUAUGUGAGUUGUAGGAUACAGCAGAAUUGAUGGUAAUUGUUUCUGAAGAAGUGAUAAUAGAUAUCACAGCACUUGCCUCAUUACUCUCUCACUUUUGGAUCACUCCCUUUGGAGGAAGUCAGCUGCCAUCUCAUGAGCAAGCCCGUGGAGGAGCCCACCUAGUGAGGACCUAGAGCCUUGUGCCAUUGGACGUGCAAGUAAACCUAGAAGCAGAGCCUCGAGCCCCAGCAAAAGAAGGAAGAAAGAAAGAAAGAAAAGGGAAGAGAAGAAAAGAGAAAAGAAAAGAAAACUGGACCAUGCUUCCUCACGGGAUGCAGAGUAAAAUUUAAUAAGGAACGGACCCGCUCCAGUCUACCUGACCAGCCAGAAGCUGGAAGCUCUCUGUAGGACAUGUGGCCUCCAUGUGAACUCAUGAUGGAUGGGCCCACCAGUCAAUUAUCCUUCCAUACUGGGAACUCUGGCCAUCACCGAGACUUUGCCAUAAUCCAGGAAAUCCAUUGUGUGUUCUCAAGGACUCUGUUUGUACAACAACCUACAUCAAAACCCUUUCUUCCUGAAGAUGAAGUGGUUAAGAGGGAAGGCUUGGGCUUUCCUUCAUGUGUCAGAGAGUGACGGUGUUUAUAAACAGAAUUGAUUUCUUGGAAACACAGCAGCCUCAAGCCCUUUUAUCUGUGAAUGACAAAGUAAAAUUUACAGUCUCACUGGAAAA